rnacentral:sRNA from 1 species
AGCAUCACACCCCUGAGGGAGGAGGAAUGGGACGAGGAAGAGGAGGAGGAGGCCGACGCCCCUGCACCUUCGUCACCACCCACGUCUCCAGUCAACUCCAGGUUUUCCAGUGGCCUUUUUCUUUUUAACAGAAAUUUGAAAUUUCUUAUCAGUCAUUUGAUUUGUUUGAGGUGCUUCUUGAAAUGAGCCUCUCAUCUCAUGUACUUGGAAAAUACCCAUCUCGCAUAUUCCACAGGAAACACCGGGCUGGAGUUGACAUCCACUCCUGUUCACAGUUUUUGCUUGAGUUGUACAGCCGCUGGAUCCUGCCGUCCAGCUCAGCCAGGAGGACCCCGGCCAUCCUCAUCAGUGAGGUGGUCAGAUCCCUUCUAGUGGUCUCAGACUUGUUCACCGAGCGCAAC